AGAACGAACGCUGGCGGCAUGCCUAACACAUGCAAGUCGAACGCUCUUGGGGCUUCGGUUCCAAGGGAGUGGCGCACGGGUGAGUAGCGCGUGGGAACCUGCCCUGGAGUGGGGGAUAACCGAGGGAAACUUCGGCUAAUACCGCAUACGCCGGGAAACCGGGAAAGAUUUAUCGCUCUAGGAGGGGCCCGCGUCGGAUUAGGUAGUUGGUGGGGUAACGGCUUACCAAGCCUGUGAUCCGUAGCUGGUCUGAGAGGAUGAUCAGCCACACUGGGACUGAGACACGGCCCAGACUCCUACGGGAGGCAGCAGUGGGGAAUAUUGGACAAUGGGCGCAAGCCUGAUCCAGCAAUGCCGCGUGAGUGAUGAAGGCCUUCGGGUUGUAAAGCUCUUUCGCACGCGAGGAUGAUGACGCUAGCGUGAGAAGAAGCCCGGCUAACUUCGCGCCAGCAGCCGC
rnacentral:rRNA from 1 species